rnacentral:rRNA from 1 species
CAAUAGCGUAUAUUAAAGUUGUUGCAGUUAAAAAGCUCGUAGUUGGAUUUCUGGUAGGAGCGACCGUGCCGAACUUGAUUGUUCGAGUAUUGUGUUGUCUUCAGCCAUCCUCGUGGAGAACUUUUCUAACAUUAACUUGUUGGGAUUGGGACCCGCGUCGUUUACUGUGAAAAAAUUAGAGUGUUUAAAGCAGGCAUUAGCUUGAAUACAUUAGCAUGGAAUAAUAAGAUAGGACUUUGGUACUAUUUUGUUGGUUUGCAUACCAAAUUAGUGAUCAACAGGAACAGUUUGAGGAUAUUCGUAUGAACAUGUCAGAGGUGAAAUUCUUGGAUUUUGAUCAGACGAACUACUGCGAAAGCAUUUAUCAAGGAUGUUUUCAUUAA